rnacentral:misc_RNA from 1 species
AAAAAGUCAUUUUCCACAUGCUUCCACUGUUUACCAAAAACAAAUAAAAGAAUGGUAUUUUCUCUCUCUUCUUUUGCAUACAAGAACAACAAAUGAACGGUCUGAAUCCUUGACUCCAUUUGUAUGCUCAUUUUUAAGCCUUUAAAUGCUUUUCUAAACUAAAUCCCUCUUGAAGCAACAGCAAAAUUUUACAUCUGGAGUACAAUAUGCAGAUA